rnacentral:sRNA from 1 species
GGCUGGCCUAGGGUAGCUCCCGAACGUGCGAGUACUCCACCGCACUGGCCAGCCUCUUCAACUGGAGA